rnacentral:rRNA from 1 species
UACGGAGGGGGCUAGCGUUGUUCGGGAUUACUGGGCGUAAAGCGCACGUAGGCGGCUUUGUAAGUUAGAGGUGAAAGCCCGGAGCUCAACUCCGGAACUGCCUUUAAGACUGCAUCGCUUGAACGUCGGAGAGGUAAGUGGAAUUCCCAGUGUAGCGGUGAAAUGCGUAGAUAUUGGGAGGAACACCAGUGGCGAAGGCGGCUCGCUGGACCGGUUCUGACGCUGAGGCGCGAAAGCGUGGGGAGCAAACAGG